GACGAACGCUGGCGGCGUGCUUAACACAUGCAAGUCGAACGGAAAGGCUCCUUCGGGGGUACUCGAGUGGCGAACGGGUGAGUAACACGUGGGUGAUCUGCCCCUGACUUUGGGAUAAGCCUGGGAAACUGGGUCUAAUACCGGAUAUGACCUGCCCUUGCAUGGGGGUUGGUGGAAAGCUUUUGCGGUCAGGGAUGGGCCCGCGGCCUAUCAGCUUGUUGGUGGGGUAAUGGCCUACCAAGGCGACGACGGGUAGCCGACCUGAGAGGGUGAUCGGCCACACUGGGACUGAGACACGGCCCAGACUCCUACGGGAGGCAGCAGUGGGGAAUAUUGCACAAUGGGCGCAAGCCUGAUGCAGCGACGCCGCGUGAGGGAUGACGGCCUUCGGGUUGUAAACCUCUUUCACCAGGGACGAAGCGCGAGUGACGGUACCUGGAGAAGAAGCACCGGCCAACUACGUGACCAGCAGCCGCGGUAAGGCUACGUAGA
rnacentral:rRNA from 1 species